UCCACUGCUCCACACCGCCUGUGGUAAUAAGAGAUGUACCACGGCCCAAUGGUCCCUCUCUCGGCCGGGCGUGUUUGUCGUGGGCAAGGAGGACGGCAACAUCGAUAUCUGGGACUUGCUGGAGAAAACCCAUGAACCAUCGCAGUCCCAGAACAUCACCUCCGUGUCCAUCAGCUGCAUGAAGCCCUGCAUCAUCUCACAGAAGCAGCAUCUCCUGGCCGUGUCCGAUGACUUUGGCACGUUGCACAUUCUGGAGGUUCCCUGGUCUCUGCGACAUCCAUUUAACCAGGAGUUGUCUACCGUCGAGGCCUACUUUGACCGGGAGGAGCAACGACUAGAUUACUUUGAAACGAGGAAAUUAUCCAGAGCCGAAAUGUUGGAGAGGCUGAAUCAAAUG